rnacentral:rRNA from 2 species
UACGGAGGAUCCAAGCGUUAUCCGGAAUCAUUGGGUUUAAAGGGUCCGUAGGCGGUUUGGUAAGUCAGUGGUGAAAGCCCAUCGCUCAACGGUGGAACGGCCAUUGAUACUGCCAGACUUGAAUUAUUAGGAAGUAACUAGAAUAUGUAGUGUAGCGGUGAAAUGCUUAGAGAUUACAUGGAAUACCAAUUGCGAAGGCAGGUUACUACUAAUUGAUUGACGCUGAUGGACGAAAGCGUGGGUAGCGAACAGG